UACGUAGGGUGCAAGCGUUUGUCCGGAAUUAUUGGGCGUAAAGGGCUCGUAGGCGGACUCUUAAGUCGGUGGUGAAAUCCUGGAGCUCAACUCCAGAACUGCCUUCGAUACUGAGAGUCUUGAGUCCGGGAGAGGUGAGUGGAACUGCGAGUGUAGAGGUGAAAUUCGUAGAUAUUCGCAAGAACACCAGUGGCGAAGGCGGCUCACUGGCCCGGUACUGACGCUGAGGUGCGAAAGCGUGGGGAGCAAACAGG
rnacentral:rRNA from 1 species